rnacentral:rRNA from 1 species
AUUGACGUGAGUGGCGGACGGGUGAGUAACACGUGGGUAACCUGCCCUUAAGCGGGGGAUAACAUUUGGAAACAGAUGCUAAUACCGCAUAAAAGUUGAGAUCACAUGGUCUUAAUUUGAAAGACGGCCUUUGGCUGUCACUUAAGGAUGGACCCGCGGCGUAUUAGCUAGUUGGUGAGAUAAUAGCCCACCAAGGCGAUGAUACGUAGCCGACCUGAGAGGGUAAUCGGCCACAUUGGGACUGAGACACGGCCCAAACUCCUACGGGAGGCAGCAGUAGGGAAUCUUCCACAAUGGACGAAAGUCUGAUGGAGCAACGCCGCGUGAGUGAAGAAGGUUUUCGGAUCGUAAAACUCUGUUGUUGGAGAAGAACAGGGACUAGAGUAACUGUUAGUCCUUUGACGGUAUCCAACCAGAAAGCCACGGCUAACUACGUGCCAGCAGCCGCGGUAAUACGUAGGUGGCAAGCGUUGUCCGGAUUUAUUGGGCGUAAAGCGAGCGCAGGCGGUUUCUUAAGUCUGAUGUGAAAGCCUUCGGCUUAACCGAAGAAGUGCAUCAGAUACUGGGAAACUUGAGUGCAGAAGAGGAAAGUGGAACUCCAUGUGUAGCGGUGAAAUGCGUAGAUAUAUGGAAGAACACCAGUGGCGAAGGCGGCUUUCUGGUCUGUAACUGACGCUGAGGCUCGAAAGUAUGGGGAGCGAACAGGAUUAGAUACCCUGGUAGUCCAUACCGUAAACGAUGAAUGCUAAGUGUUGGAGGGUUUCCGCCCUUCAGUGCUGCAGCUAACGCAUUAAGCAUUCCGCCUGGGGAGUACGACCGCAAGGUUGAAACUCAAAGGAAUUGACGGGGGCCCGCACAAGCGGUGGAGCAUGUGGUUUAAUUCGAAGCUACGCGAAGAACCUUACCAGGUCUUGACAUCUAGCGCCAAUCCUAGAGGUAGGACGUUCCCUUCGGGGACGCUAAGACAGGUGGUGCAUGGUUGUAGUCAGCUCGUGUCGUGAGAUGUUGGGUUAAGUCCCGCAACGAGCGCAACCCUUAUGAUUAGUUGCCAGCAUUAAAUUGGGCACUCUAAUCAGACUGCCGGUGACAAAC